ACCCUGUGGGGCUCCUGGACAGAGAAGACUUUCUGUCCCCCACUUCCUGUUUAUAGGGAACAGCCUCCAUGACCUUCGUUGAGUUCCAAAGGGCAGAUUCAAACAGUUGCUAAUCAAGGGAGAAGCAGCCAAGAAACCACCCGAGUGCCAUGACAGUCCCAGCUUGACCAUGUAGAGACAAGAAAACUCCCCCACCUGACAUGGAAGAGGAACUGAUGAUGGAAGUGUGACAUCUACUCAAGAAUGAGGAAGAAGGCAAUAAGUCUGAUGCUUGGUCAGGAGCUGGAGACCGCGAGAGAGCUUCCUAUCAGCUUUCAAGGACGUGACUCCUGAUGCAAACAGACAACAGAAUACUUAGGUUCCAGAUUUGGAAUGCCCAAGCGAUAGGUCUAGUCACUUCGAAUUCCUACUGAUUGGCACAUGGUCAUCCUUUCCCCAUGGCUGCAUAAAAUAGAUUGAAUCAAAUGGACCCCAUCAUUCACGCUGCUUCUCUCUGCUGGGGCCAGGAGCAGCCCGGCUGUGCGGCACCAGCUGAGCAAAGACAGACGGCAAAGCACUAUGCUUCUCCUUCCCCGAAAAACAGCCGCUCAAGGUCACAGAGAGCCUUUACAGUGGGUGACUUUAAAGUUACCAGAGUAACUUUACAGUGAGAAACCUGACAAACCCUGUUUCAAGGGAUAAGGUGAUGGACUGUGAGUGUUUUCUUUGUUGCCAUGACAAUCAUUUCCCUUUGUAAGAUGGACAGCUGCACCAUGAUUUGGUGAGUUCGGCCAAUGCCAUAA